AUGCAUUUAACCCACACUGCUUCGUUUUGGCCCAGAUUCUUCUCUAUGUCUCUUCUUGUGUCCCUGAGGAACCCCGGGGGAAAUAAGGCACAUUCCACUUCAAGUCACUCUCCCUCCUGCCAGUCACUUCCCCUCGGCACGUUUGUUUUGCUGGAGGCCUGCUUUCUUCCCUGGGAACCCGGAGGAACAAUGAGCGGUGGCCACGCCCCCGGGGCCCCGCCCCCAUCCUGGACCGCUUCCUCAGCUUCCCCUUGCUCACGCUUGACCCCGGCGGAGACUGCGUUGGAGGCCCCUCCAGCUCGCCUACCAAGUGCGUCAAUCACUUGUUUACUUGCUUUUCCUGCCUGGCUCUGGGGGUUCCGCUGGCUAUUUCUUCCCUCUGGAGGUUCUCCUGAGGUCUUCGGUUACCCACCAAGCAUGGACCCUGCUGGCUUCAUAAUCUCAGUUGCCCAUGUUGACUAAGGGUCUACAAUGGGCCAAGUACUGGUAGGUACUUCCUAUCUGCUCACCUCGUCUUGAUUAUCUGCCUGGACAAAUGAAGAAAUAGAGGGACAAGAGCCUUUCCUCAGGCAAAAUAAAAAUUAGAAGCUAGGGGGUUUUGUUUUGCUUCUGCAGCUCAAUGAAUUGUCACAGUCAUUACUCAUGGAGCUGCCACGAAGUCAGGAGAGAAGCUUGUCAACAUCCUUUCCCCCUCUAAUCACUACCUCCUCCCUCCCUACUUCUCUGCCACCUCUUCUGCUUCAAACUUCAGCUUUAUCCCUGACUACAUACUACCUCCCUUAGCCUCAUGGAGCAAUUAAAAACUCAGGGACUUUCCUAUGACUGCACGUAUGUCAGAGCUGGGACCUGAACCCAUGCGUUUGAAGUCCCCUAUAGCUUGAUUUAUUUCUUCCUUUCUGCUUACCUACAUCUUUUCCAUCUGACAAGGUCGAUCGAAUCCAUGCUUCUCCACGCAGCCUGUUAGAACCCCCCUGUUCUCACUGAUCUUUUCCUGUACCUGGUGAGUUCCUUACUGCCUGCUUCACUGACAGGACAUUUAGAUGCAGAUACUGCCUGGCAUUGUUUAGCAUUUCACGUUCUUGUUUCAUCUUCCCUAUGAGUGGAAGCAUUUUUGUAAGCAUUUUUGGAGGUCACUUAACACCUUUUUAUAUAGACACUUGAACGUGGUCCACACAGAGGAGGUCUGAGGCUCUGAGGCUCUGGGCUCUGGGCUCUGAGGUCAGACUCAGGUUCAACUCCUGGUCUCACUAGUGGCUUGCUGUGUGGCGGUGAAUUACUUAACCUCUGCCUAAAUGCUUUCUUGAAGAGUUGUUGAGAAAAUUAAUUCACGGUGUAGCAUCACAGUGCCUGGCACACAUUAAUCAUUCUGCAAAGGUCAACUAUUACUGGAACUCGACAAGUAUCUAUUGUUGGUUGAUAGUGAGCUACUCAACGGAUUCUCAAGGUUAAAAAAAAUUAUUUUUAAAGAAAGGACUAAGAUAGAAAAUCUCUUUUCCAUAGGAUACAGGUCAAGAAAAACAAAACGCAGGUUGGAAGGAGGCCGGAUACUGGAUGGGCAUAGCCUCACUCCCCCUCCCUCAUGUUCACCUUACUAAAGAAGCAGUAAUGGCUCCCCAGCGUGCAGAGCACUGAAAUGACUAACAGCUGAGCAGGCAGCAACCAAGCAGAGCAGGGCCCUGGCUGUGUUCCCACCGCUAAGUCAUGCAGAAGAGGCCAUCUUUACCUCCUCCGAGCCUCCACAGCAGCUAAUGCUAUUAGGAUAAAAGAUGGGUCCAUUUGGGCCCUAAACCUUGAUGUUCAGGUACUCUACAAGGUCAGUGACUGGAGAGAAAAUGCAAAAGCUGAAGCAGGAGUUUCCAGAGAAGAGGCUGAGCAGCUGUCAAGAAUCAAGAAAUACACCACUCUGGGCAUGUAUGCAUAUUUUAACCAAACAGUCUAUUUCUUCAAAGGACUGCAAAGGGCAAAAGCUUGCCUUCCUUCUAACUUUAUUCCCACACAUCACAGGAGCAAGCUUGCCUGAAACAUAGCAGCUAUUGCUUUCUUUAUUCUCAAUUUGCAAAGAGAUUCUUCCCCAGAUACUUUCAGAAAAAAUUAAGGAGAGUUUGAGGAUGGGAUUGGCAUACAGAGUAUCUUUCCUAUAAUUCUGUGGGCUUUGUCUGAUCAUCUGUCCUGCAAGUUGUAGGAGGCAUUUCUCAGAGCAUCAAUGCUAAGCAAAAUAGAACUCAAAAUAGAACAAUGUGAGGCGUAUCUGGUGGGUGGAAAACUGUCAUAACCUGAGAUUUUGGAAAUUACAGGGAGUUAAGGAGAUGCAGAAGAGGGUAAUAAGGAUGUUUCAGAUAAUGGGAUCAGACAGGACUGACAGCAGAGACUGCUGGGCUCUUCUGGACCACAAGAUCCCUAUAGUUGGGUUGGGAAUGAGGGACACAAAAAGGCAAAACUCAAACCAGCAGUAGCUAUUAAACCAAAGCAAGUUCUGACCAUUAAGCCAAGAGCAGGGAGGGGCUCAUGUGCCAAUAUUUUCUAAUGCAAAUGCAAAAUGGACUAUCAUCAGAAAUAUUUAUUGUCAACAGCAAUGCCCAGGAAUUAUAUAACCUCAUCAACUUUCUUCCUCUGGCCUGUUUCCCCAUAUUUAAAUCUGAAGUCAUACUACUCCCCAGUCUCAGUUGGUGACCCUCCUUUGCUUCCUCAGACCUCCAUGUGUAAUUUUCUAUUAAUGUGUCUGCCUCUCCAACUAGACCAUAAACUCCUAUGGGAUGGGACUGUAUUUUAUUCCUCUGUGGCCUCAAAGCCUGGCACAGAACAUGGCUUGUAGCAGGUGUUCAAUCAACAUUUAUGGACUGAAUAGUCUCCAAAGUCCCAGGAGGACAGAAUCAUAGAAUGACUAGAUUCUGUCCUCCACAGAGUUCACAUGAAGUGUUGGCCUAGUUGCUUCCCUAGGAGCUGUCCGGAUCAGGCUACUUCAGUUGAAACACUGUGGCCUCCCUUCCCCUUCUUUUCUUUUCAGUUCAGUUCAGUUCAGUAGCUCAGUCAUGUCCAACUCUUUGUGACCCCAUGAGUCGCAGCACACCAAGCUUCCCUGUCCAUCACCAACUCCCGGAGUUUACCCAAACUCAUGUGCAUCAAGUCGGUGAUGCCAUCCAGCCAUCUCAUCCUCUGUUGUCCCCUUCUUCUCCUGCCCCCAAUCCCUCCCAGCAUCGGGGUCUUUUCCAAUGAGUCAACUCUUCACAUAAGGUGGCCAAA
ensembl:lincRNA